AUUGAACGCUGGCGGCAGGCUUAACACAUGCAAGUCGAGCGGGGUGAUGGUGCUUGCACUAUCACUUAGCGGCGGACGGGUGAGUAAUGCUUAGGAAUCUGCCUAUUAGUGGGGGACAACAUCUCGAAAGGGAUGCUAAUACCGCAUACGUCCUACGGGAGAAAGCAGGGGAUCACUUGUGACCUUGCGCUAAUAGAUGAGCCUAAGUCGGAUUAGCUAGUUGGUGGGGUAAAGGCCUACCAAGGCGACGAUCUGUAGCGGGUCUGAGAGGAUGAUCCGCCACGCUGGGACGAAGACACGGCCCAGACUCCUACGGGAGGCAGCAGUGGGGAAUAUUGGACAAUGGGGGGAACCCUGAUCCAGCCAUGCCGCGUGUGUGAAGAAGGCCUUAUGGUUGUAAAGCACUUUAAGCGAGGAGGAGGCUCUUUUGGUUAAUACCUAAGAUGAGUGGACGUUACUCGCAGAAUAAGCACCGGCUAACUCUGUGCCAGCCGCCGCCGUAA
rnacentral:rRNA from 1 species